rnacentral:rRNA from 1 species
CCCUUAGAUGUUCUGGGCCGCACGCGUGCUACACUGAGUGGAUCAGCGGGUCAGGUUGCGCGAAAGCGUUUCCUAAUCUUUAAAUCCGCUCGUGAUGGGGAUUGACGGUUGCAAUUUUCUGUCAUGAACGAGGAAUACCUUGUAAGCGCGGGUCAUCAUCCCGCGCUGAAUACGUCCCUGCCCUUUGUACACACCGCCCGUCGCUCCUACCGAUUGAGUGGUCCGGUGAGGCUUUGGGAUCUGAGCGGAAAGAGCGUUUCGCUGUUUCUGCUCGGAAAACUCAGUCGAACCUUAUCAUUUAGGGGAAGGAGAAGUCGUAACA